rnacentral:lncRNA from 1 species
UCAUCAUCUUAUUAAUCUCUUGGAUGAUUCAUGGACACAUAAAAUAUGAAUAAUAAUAUAAAUAUCCAUAAAAAUAUAUUAUGUGUCAGUCAAGAUUGACUUCUAAGACAUAUAUCCAACAGUAUGUUUCCUCCACUCAAGACCCCACGCAUGCCCAUGCAACCCCCGAUGACCAAAGUGCCAUCCGAUCAACGACCUACCAACAUUCAUGAGCCUCCCUACAUCAAAAUGCCUCCCGAUCGGUGAUCUCCGAUGUCUGUAGCCUCCUGGCAUCAAAAUGCCGUCCGAUCGGCAAGAUCCCGACGUCCAUGAAUUUCUUGACGUCAAAGCGCCACCCGUUUGAUGACCUCCCGAUAUCCAUGAGCAUCCUGAUGCCAACUUCUGCCGAUUUGGCAGCCUUAGU